ACGAUCAUGUGCGUGCGAGUGCAGAAUUAAGAAGCCUGGACCCCGCUGAUUUGUUGCUGUCCGUAGUCCUUGAUCUCACGCGCCUUGUCCAUGAUCUUGUGACGCGCGCUGUCUAACUGAUCCGCGCCAGGUGGUUGCUUGCCGGUGACGUACCUGUAGAUCCACGCCAGCACCGUGAUCGCCGCCACACCGAACCCACUCGAGGCGAGGAACCCCAGGCUCAGGAGCGCAACGGUGAUUACGGCGGGGACGAGAACCGGACUGAAAAUGACGAACAGCGGGGUGACGAUGGUGAGGGCAAUGACGGUGGCGGCGAGGAUCAACGAGGCGAGGAUCAAGAGGGAGCCGCCCGCUGUGACGGCGGUGGCGGCCUUGACGACCUGGUGGGUGGAGGAACGGGUUUGUUGGUGUGGAUCGUUAGGGUAGCGGAGGGGGUAUUGGUGUUGUGGUUGGUAGUGAAGCUCAGCCAUAAUGUGUGGGAAUUAUGAAAAUGAAAGAGAAGAGUUUUGAGUGAAGAGUGAGUGAUUAGUGUGAUAGGGUUUGAGGUGGUGGGAAUGGGGGUAUAAAUGGAGAAAUUGGUGAAUAUAGGGCUGUGUGGCAACACCUGAGGAGGUGGUGUGGC
rnacentral:lncRNA from 1 species